rnacentral:rRNA from 1 species
UAACACGUAGGGGGCGAGCGUUGUCCGGAUUUAUUGGGCGUAAAGAGCUCGUAGGCGGUUCAGUAAGUCGGGUGUGAAACCCCCGGGCUCAACCCGGGGACGCCACCUGAUACUGCUGUGACUGGAGUCCGGUAGGGGAGCGUGGAAUUCCUGGUGUAGCGGUGAAAUGCGCAGAUAUCAGGAGGAACACCAGCGGCGAAGGCGGCGCUCUGGACCGGUACUGACGCUGAGGAGCGAAAGCGUGGGGAGCGAACAGGAUUAGAUACCCUGGUAGUCCACGCGGUAAACGUUGGGCACUAGGUGUGGGGAUUUAUCAACGAUCUCUGUGCCGUAGCUAACGCAUUAAGUGCCCCGCCUGGGGAGUACGGCCGCAAGGCUA